rnacentral:tRNA from 1 species
CGUUUGGUUUAGUGGUCAACGACGUUCGUCCCGGAACCGCAAGGUCCUGGGUUCGAAUCCCGUUCGAUCC